UUGAACGCUGGCGGCAGGCCUAACACAUGCAAGUCGAACGGUAACAGGAAGAAGCUUGCUUCUUUGCUGACGAGUGGCGGACGGGUGAGUAAUGUCUGGGAAACUGCCUGAUGGAGGGGGAUAACUACUGGAAACGGUAGCUAAUACCGCAUAACGUCGCAAGACCAAAGAGGGGGACCUUCGGGCCUCUUGCCAUCGGAUGUGCCCAGAUGGGAUUAGCUAGUAGGUGGGGUAACGGCUCACCUAGGCGACGAUCCCUAGCUGGUCUGAGAGGAUGACCAGCCACACUGGAACUGAGACACGGUCCCGGAUCCUUAGGGGAGCAGGAGUGGGGAAUAUUGGACAAUUGGCGGAAGCCUGGUGCAGGCAUGCCGCGUUGAUGGAGGAGGCCUUCGGGUUGUUAAGUACUUUCAGCGGGGAGGAAGGGAGGAAAGGUUAUACCUUUUCUCAUUGACGUUACCCGGAGGAGGAGCACCGGCUAACUCCGUG
rnacentral:rRNA from 1 species